rnacentral:rRNA from 1 species
AGAGUUUGAUCCUGGCUCAGGACGAACGCUGGCGGCGUGCUUAACACAUGCAAGUCGAACGGAAAGGCCCCUUCGGGGGUACUCGAGUGGCGAACGGGUGAGUAACACGUGAGUAACCUGCCCUUGACUUCGGGAUAACUUCAGGAAACUGGGGCUAAUACCGGAUAGGAAUCCUUGCUGCAUGGUGGGGGUUGGAAAGCUUCGGCGGUUUUGGAUGGACUCGCGGCUUAUCAGCUUGUUGGUGGGGUAGUGGCUUACCAAGGCUUUGACGGGUAGCCGGCCUGAGAGGGCGACCGGCCACAUUGGGACUGAGAUACGGCCCAGACUCCUACGGGAGGCAGCAGUGGGGAAUAUUGCACAAUGGGCGGAAGCCUGAUGCAGCAACGCCGCGUGCGGGAUGACGGCCUUCGGGUUGUAAACCGCUUUCAGCAGGGGCGAAGCUUGUGGUGACGGUACCUGCAGAAGAAGCACCGGCUAACUACGUGCCAGCAGCCGCGGUGAUACGUAGGGUGCGAGCGUUGUCCGGAUUUAUUGGGCGUAAAGAGCUCGUAGGUGGUUGAUUGCGUCGGAAGUGAAAACUUGGGGCUUAACCCUGAGCGUGCUUUCGAUACGGGUUGACUUGAGGAAGGUAGGGGAGAAUGGAAUUCCUGGUGGAGCGGUGGAAUGCGCAGAUAUCAGGAGGAACACCAGUGGCGAAGGCGGUUCUCUGGACCUUUCCUGACGCUGAGGAGCGAAAGCGUGGGGAGCGAACAGGCUUAGAUACCCUGGUAGUCCACGCUGUAAACGGUGGGUACUAGGUGUGGGGUCCAUUCCACGGAUUCCGUGCCGUAGCUAACGCAUUAAGUACCCCGCCUGGGGAGUACGGCCGCAAGGCUAAAACUCAAAGGAAUUGACGGGGCCCCGCACAAGCGGCGGAGCAUGCGGAUUAAUUCGAUGCAACGCGAAGAACCUUACCUGGGUUUGACAUGGACUGGGAGUGCUCAGAGAUGGGUAUGCCUCCUUGUGGGGCUGGUUCACAGGUGGUGCAUGGCUGUCGUCAGCUCGUGUCGUGAGAUGUUGGGUUAAGUCCCGCAACGAGCGCAA